rnacentral:rRNA from 1 species
GACGAACGCUGGCGGCGUGCUUAACACAUGCAAGUCGAGCGGAGCGGCGAACGGGUGAGUAACGCGUGAGUAACUGCCCCCCUCGCUGGGAUAACAGUUGGAAAGGGCGACUAAUACCGGAUAGUGGGGGAUGACUCGCGUCCUAUCAGCUUGUUGGUUGGGUAGUGGCCGACCAAGGGGACGACGGGUAGCCGGCCUUAGAGGGCGACCGGCCACCAUGGGCUGAGAGAGGGCGCAAUAGACUACGGGAGGCAGCAGUGGGAAAUAUUGCCCAACGGGGGAAACCGUGAUGAAGCAAUUUGCGUGCGGGAUGCCGGCCUGCGGGAUAAAAACAGCUUUCAUAGAUGACGCGGUAGUGGAACAGAAAGCACCGGCUAACUACGUGCCAGCAGCCGCGGUAAUAC